UGGGGUGUAGCCAAGUGGUAAGGCUACGGGUUUUGGCCCUGUGAUUCGGAAGUUCGAAUCUUCCCACCUCAG
rnacentral:tRNA from 1 species